rnacentral:rRNA from 1 species
CAGCAGCCGCGGUAAUACGAAGGGGGCUAGCGUUGUUCGGAAUUACUGGGCGUAAAGCGCACGUAGGCGGAUAUUUAAGUCAGGGGUGAAAUCCCAGAGCUCAACUCUGGAACUGCCUUUGAUGCUGGGUAUCUUGAGUAUGGAAGAGGUGAGUGGAAUUCCGAGUGUAGAGGUGAAAUUCGUAGAUAUUCGGAGGAACACCAGUGGCGAAGGCGGCUCACUGGUCCAUUACUGACGCUGAGGCUCGAAAGCGUGGGUAGCGAACAGGAUUAGAUACCCCCGUAGUCCCUGUCUCUUAUAC